UUGUUGAGAACCGCCGCGCGUGCGUAGAGCUCCUCUUCAAGAUACACCCUUGUCUUUUUUGUGCACUUUCUGUUUCCUCGGCAGCUCUUUGCCUGCCAGCGGGGACCCCCAAACAACCUCUUGCAAUCUCAGUAUAACGUUCUGAAAAAAACAAACUAUUA
rnacentral:misc_RNA from 1 species